rnacentral:lncRNA from 1 species
CAAAAAAAUUCGCCACCUGAAAUGUUAUAAGGUGAGUUCCAGGUACACUUCAAUCAGUAAACAUAGAAAUUUGAACAAGCAAACAUAAUAGGAAUCAAACUAUAAGCAAUAUCAACAUACUAUUAAACUGAAAUUGAAUUAAAACGUCAUAUUAAUAUAGUUUAUAAGAAGGAGCUUGAAAAUGGAGAUUUUGUUCAACCCUUAGAAUUGACAUUAGAUAAAACAUUUUGUUUGUUUUCUC